CCUACGGGAGGCAGCAGUGGGGAAUAUUGGACAAUGGGCGCAAGCCUGAUCCAGCAAUGCCGCGUGAGUGAUGAAGGCCUUAGGGUCGUAAAGCUCUUUUACCAGGGAUGAUAAUGACAGUACCUGGAGAAUAAGCUCCGGCUAACUCCGUGCCAGCAGCCGCGGUAAUACGGAGGGAGCUAGCGUUGUUCGGAAUUACUGGGCGUAAAGCGUACGUAGGCGGUUAUUCAAGUCAGAGGUAAAAGCCCGGGGCUCAACCCCGGAACGGCCUUUGAAACUAGGUAGCUAGAAUCUUGGAGAGGUCAGUGGAAUUCCGAGUGUAGAGGUGAAAUUCGUAGAUAUUCGGAAGAACACCAGUGGCGAAGGCGACUGACUGGACAAGUAUUGACGCUGAGGUACGAAAGCGUGGGGAGCAAACAGGAUUAGAUACCCUGGUAGUCCACGCCGUAAACGAUGAUAACUAGCUGUCCGGGCACUUGGUGCCUGGGUGGCGCAGCUACGACAUUAAGUUAUCCGUCCGUCGGGUAGGUACGGUCGCGAGAAUUAAAACUUAAAAGGUAAAGUUAGUACGGCGUGAGACGUGCCGACGGACGACGACGAGGGAGGUAGG
rnacentral:rRNA from 1 species